rnacentral:misc_RNA from 1 species
GAAAUGCGAUAAGUAAUGUGAAUUGCAGAAUUCAGCGAAUCAUCGAAUCUUUGAACGCACAUUGCGCCCCCUGGUAUUCCGGGGGGCAUGCCUGUUCGAGCGUCAUUUCACCACUCAAGCCUCGCUUGGUAUUGGGCAACGCGGUCCGCCGCGUGCCUCAAAUCGACCGGCUGGGUCUUCUGUCCCCUAAGCGUUGUGGAAACUAUUCGCUAAAGGGUGCUCGGGAGGCUACGCCGUAAAACAAACCCAUUUCUAAGGUUGACCUCGGAUCAGGUAGGGAUACCCGCUGAACUUAAGC